AAUGAUAAAGCAAUAGAGCAGGUUAAAAAGUGGAUAAAACCUCAGGUGCAAGGAAAGGGAAUGGCAAUUAAUAUACUAGGCUUUGCAGGUGGUUUCCCUGAUUUGGGAAUACUGCGAUGGUUCAGGGGAUCUCAAGAUAAUCAUUCACAACAGCCAAUUGCAGCAUCUGGAGCCCAGAUGAAUUCAACAACACCUAGAAGUGAAGCAACAAGUGAAUUUAAUUUUGAUGCCUUCAUUGAAGAAAAUGAUAAAAUGCAG